rnacentral:rRNA from 1 species
CCUACGGGAGGCAGCAGUGAGGAAUAUUGGUCAAUGGACGAGAGUCUGAACCAGCCAAGUAGCGUGAAGGAUGACUGCCCUAUGGGUUGUAAACUUCUUUUAUAUGGGAAUAAAACAGGGUAUGCAUACCCUCUUGUAUGUACCAUAUGAAUAAGGAUCGGCUAACUCCGUGCCAGCAGCCGCGGUAAUACGGAGGAUCCGAGCGUUAUCCGGAUUUAUUGGGUUUAAAGGGAGCGUAGGUGGAUUGUGAAGUCAGUUGUGAAAGUUUGCGGCUCAACCGUAAAAUUGCAGUUGAAACUGGCAGUCUUGAGUACAGUAGAGGUGGGCGGAAUUCGUGGUGUAGCGGUGAAAUGCUUAGAUAUCACGAAUAACUCCGAUUGCGAAGGCAGCUCACUGGACUGCAACUGACACUGAUGCUCGAAAGUGUGGGUAUCGAACAGGAUUAGAUACCCCAGUAGUC